rnacentral:tRNA from 1 species
GGGGGUAUAGCUCAGUGGUAGAGCGCAUGCUUAGCAAGCCCGAGGCUCUCGGUUCCAUCCCCAGUCUCUCCA